rnacentral:misc_RNA from 1 species
AACGCAUAUUGCGCUCUCUGGUAUUCCGGAGAGCAUGCCUGUUUGAGGGUAAUUAAAUAAAUCUUUGACUAUUUUUUUAGUCAAGGGAUAUUGGGUUCUCCGCACUUUGUAGCGGUAGCCUGAAAUAUAUGGUUAGUCUCAUUUUGUUGAGAUGCGUAAUAAUAUUUAUUUCGCGAAAAAUCAUCAAUGAGAUUCUACCAAGUUUUGACGCAUACAGUCUAAGCUGUCUAAGUUACCACCCUAACCCAAUGCGUUAAUACAAUAUUUUUGAACAUUACCUCAAAUCAGGUAGGAAUACCCGCUGAACUUAA